rnacentral:rRNA from 1 species
AGUGAACGCUGGCGGUAGGCCUAACACAUGCAAGUCGAACGGCAGCACAGUAAGAGCUUGCUCUUACGGGUGGCGAGUGGCGGACGGGUGAGGAAUACAUCGGAAUCUACUUUUUCGUGGGGGAUAACGUAGGGAAACUUACGCUAAUACCGCAUACGACCUACGGGUGAAAGCAGGGGAUCUUCGGACCUUGCGCGAUUGUAUGAGCCGAUGUCGGAUUAGCUAGUUGGCGGGGUAAAGGCCCACCAAGGCGACGAUCCGUAGCUGGUCUGAGAGGAUGAUCAGCCAAACUGGAACUGAGAGACGGUCCAGACUCCUACGGGAGGCAGCAGUGGGGAAUAUUGGACAAUGGGCGCAAGCCUGAUCCAGCAAUACCGCGUGGGUGAAGAAGGCCUUCGGGUUGUAAAGCCCUUUUGUUGGGAAAGAAAAGCAGCAGGUUAAUACCCCGCUGUUCUGACGGUACCCAAAGAAUAAGCACCGGCUAACUUCGUG